GUGCUCCAGAAUGAGAUGCCCCAGCAUGAGGUCUCUAGCUUUGUUAAUGAAAUGAUAGAAUAUGUUUUUUUGGGAGGGAAAGGAGAAGGCUGUGAAAGUCCCAUGUGAGAGAGAGCUGUAAAAUGGCAGAUUACAGAAAGUUGCAGGCUUACCAUGGGGAAAGGGGUGAGCAUCACAGAAACACAGGUGACAUUCUGGAACAAGUUUCAACAAGUUCUUCACUUACCCCACCCAACAGCACAGAACAAAGCUGGGCAGAAAGUCAAGGAAGUGUUACAUUUUCAUCACCCCCUCAUGUGUCAAAGGAGUAGUUUGGGUAUUUGUUAAAAUGAAUUUAUUUAUUUUAAGGAAGUCAUUUCUUGGGGAAGGCUCAAUCAAACACAGGGUCUUACAUUUGUAAAUGUGAUCACAGUCAGCCUGGAGUCCAGUCUGAUUUCUUUCAGCCAGGAGCUACAUUUUCAAAAGCAUCCAAAUUACUGAGGAGCCAAAAUCCCAUUGACUUUCACUUUUGGAAGUGGGAUUUAGGAUUUUAAGUCACUUAAGCAUUUACUUACUUACUUAACCCACCCACUGUGCAUCUCUUUGGUGAAUGAUAUCAAGCUGCUGGAGGAAUUCUUGUAUUUG